UAGGGAAUCUUCGGCAAUGGGGGCAACCCUGACCGAGCAACGCCGCGUGAGUGAAGAAGGUUUUCGGAUCGUAAAGCUCUGUUGUAAGAGAAGAACGUGUGUGAGAGUGGAAAGUUCACACAGUGACGGUAACUUACCAGAAAGGGACGGCUAUCUACGUGCCAGCAGCCGCGGUAAUACGUAGGUCCCGAGCGUUGUCCGGAUUUAUUGGGCGUAAAGCGAGCGCAGGCGGUUUAAUAAGUCUGAAGUUAAAGGCAGUGGCUUAACCAUUGUUCGCUUUGGAAACUGUUAAACUUGAGUGCAGAAGGGGAGAGUGGAAUUCCAUGUGUAGCGGUGAAAUGCGUAGAUAUAUGGAGGAACACCGGUGGCGAAAGCGGCUCUCUGGUCUGUAACUGACGCUGAGGCUCGAAAGCGUGGGGAGCAAACAGG
rnacentral:rRNA from 1 species